GACGAACGCUGGCGGCGUGCUUAACACAUGCAAGUCGAACGGAAAGGCCUUUUCGGCGGUACUCGAGUGGCGAACGGGUGAGUAACACGUGGGUGAUCUGCCCUGCACUCUGGGAUAAGCCUGGGAAACUGGGUCUAAUACCGGAUAGGACCGCACUUUAGUGUGUGUGGUGGAAAGUUUUUUCGGUGUAGGAUGAGCCCGCGGCCUAUCAGCUUGUUGGUGGGGUAAUGGCCUACCAAGGCGGCGACGGGUAGCCGGACUGAGAGGUUGGUCGGCCACAUUGGGACUGAGAUACGGCCCAGACUCCUACGGGAGGCAGAAGUGGGGAAUAUUGCACAAUGGGCGCAAGCCUGAUGCAGCGACGCCGCGUGGGGGAUGACGGCCUUCGGGUUGUAAACUCCUUUCGCCAGGGACGAAGCGUUUUGUGACGGUACCUGGAGAAGAAGCACCGGCUAACUACGUG
rnacentral:rRNA from 1 species